rfam:Pseudogymnoascus pannorum VKM F-3557 contig_830, whole genome shotgun sequence.
GGCACUUUGGCGGAGUGGUUAACGCGAUGCCCUGCUAUGUCCACUGGACGUAUUUAGGCAUUUCCUUCGGGAGCGAGUGUUCGAAUCACUCAGGUGUCG